rnacentral:rRNA from 1 species
GAUGAACGCUGGCGGCGUGCCUAAUACAUGCAAGUCGAGCGAACAGACGAGGAGCUUGCUCCUCUGACGUUAGCGGCGGACGGGUGAGUAACACGUGGAUAACCUACCUAUAAGACUGGGAUAACUUCGGGAAACCGGAGCUAAUACCGGAUAAUAUAUUGAACCGCAUGGUUCAAUAGUGAAAGACGGUUUUGCUGUCACUUAUAGAUGGAUCCGCGCCGCAUUAGCUAGUUGGUAAGGUAACGGCUUACCAAGGCAACGAUGCGUAGACGACCUGAGAGGGUGGUCGGCCACGCUGGAACUGAGACACGGUCCAGACGCCUACGGGAGGCAGCAGUAGGGAAUCUUCCGCAAUGGGCGAAAGCUUGACGGAGCAACGCCGCGUGAGUGAUGAAGGUCUUCGGAUCGUAAAACUCUGUUAUUGGGGAAGAACAAAUGUGUAAGUAACUAUGCACGUCUUGACGGUACCUAAUCAGAAAGCCACGGCUAACUACGUG